AUUGAACGCUGGCGGCAUGCUUUACACAUGCAAGUCGAACGGCAGCACGGGGGCAACCCUGGUGGCGAGUGGCGAACGGGUGAGUAACACAUCGGAACGUGCCCAGUUGUGGGGGAUAACCUAUCGAAAGGUAGGCUAAUACCGCAUGAGCUCGGCAAGAGGAAAGCGGGGGACUCAGCGAUGGGCCUCGCGCGACUGGAGCGGCCGAUGUCCGAUUAGCAGUUGGUGGGGUAAAGGCUUACCAAGGCGACGAUCGGUAGCUGGUCUGAGAGGAUGAUCAGCCACACUGGGACUGAGACACGGCCCAGACUCCUACGGGA
rnacentral:rRNA from 1 species